AUGGCUGAGCGCCGGAUGGUCACGUCCGCCAUUGUAGCUGAAGAAGAAACAAUGACCCAUGUGAUCAAGAUAGAUGGGUACUCAAGAACCAAGGAGCUGCUUAAGGCUGGCAAGUGUACAACAUCUAUCCCUUUCAUUGCCGGAGAUAAUAUCUGGGUUGUGAAGUAUUUCCCAAACGGUAACAGCAAGGCAGAUGAUUACAUACCUGGGUACGUAUCUGUUUUUUUGGCUCUUCAGUCAGCUGAUGCCAAGAAUGUGCAGGCGAACUUCACCUUUAGUUUACUUGACAAGGGUGGAGAACCAGUGUGCAUCAAAUGUGAGGCAGAAAAUCGUAUCUUCCGGCGCAAAGGUUCAAAUUGGGGUUUCACUACGUUUAUUGAGCAGGGAGAUUUGGUAGAAUCGGUGCAUCUAACAGGUGAUAGUUUCAGGCUCAGGUGCGACAUCACCGUCCUGAAAAAGAUCCGCAGUGAAGAGACCAGCCCCAAUCAGUUUGUCGUGAUUCCUCCAAGCAACUUGCAUCGCCAGCUCGGCGACCUCCUGAAAAACAAGGAUGGGGCAGAUGUGGCCUUUCGAGUCGGCGGCGAGAUAUUCUCGGCUCAUAGGUCCGUGCUCGCUGCUCGUUCACCGGUCUUCAAGGCGGAGCUCUUUGGCGCCAUGAGGGAGAGAGCCAGUGAUCCGAUUGAAAUUCUUGAUAUAGAAGCUGAUGUGUUCAAGUCCCUGCUCCAUUUCAUCUACACGGACUCACUCCCUGAGAGCACUAAUGAAGGUACAACACAAGUUGAUGUUGUGACAGCCAGCCAUCUACUUGUAGCGGCGGACAGGUACGACAUCGAGAGGCUGAAGCUGAUAUGCCAAGACAAGUUAUGCAAUCACAUUGGCACCAAAAUGGUUGCCACUAGUUUGGCUUUGGCUGAGCAGCAUAACUGCCAGGGACUCAAGGAGGCUUGCUUUGAGUUCCUUGCUUCUCCUUCCAAUCUGGAGGCAAUGAUCGCAAGUGAUGGUUACCAACAUCUCAAAAGCAGUUGCCCGUCUGCUCUGAAAGAGCUCAUUGCUAGAUUCUUGCCUGUUGAGCUGAUACCAGCCAUGGAUACUAUCAGGUUAAUUUGA
rnacentral:rRNA from 1 species